CAGUAGCCACGGUAAUACGAGGGGGGCAAGCGUUGUUCGGAAUUACUGGGCGUAAAGCGCACGUAGGCGGACCGGAAAGUCAGAGGUGAAAUCCCAGGGCUCAACCUUGGAACUGCCUUUGAAACUCCUGGUCUUGAGGUCGAGAGAGGUGAGUGGAAUUCCGAGUGUAGAGGUGAAAUUCGUAGAUAUUCGGAGGAACACCAGUGGCGAAGGCGGCUCACUGGCUCGAUACUGACGCUGAGGUGCGAAAGCGUGGGGAGCAAACAGGAUUAGAUACCCGGGUAGUCCCUGUCUCUUAUAU
rnacentral:rRNA from 1 species